UAAAGCGCCAAAACUAACAAAUAGUUUUGCAUCUUCUGUAAUAACCUUUUCUACAGACAAUACAAAAGCCAAAAAAUACAAGCCCUGAAGUAGUAUCAACAUCAAAUUUUGAGACUACACCCCAAAAACCUACAGCACAUGUGUCGUCAGUAACAAACAAACAGAAUUUGUUUCUUCAAAGCAAAACUUUUUCCAGUUCUAAUUCUGCACAAUCAUCACUCCAGAAAAGCAAAACCUUCAGUUACCACCACGUCUUUGAAAGACAACAAACAUACUUCUAAUGUUACCGUAGAAUCAACUUUGCCAAGCACAACUUCACAAAAAAAGCAGUGGUUUAUCCGCUUUUUCUGCUGCGGUGUGGUCAUUAAGUAGUAUUUCGUCAGUUUCAGUGACAUCAAAGGCAAGAACAAGCAAGUUGACACUUCACAGCAGCACUCUUACCACCAUAUCUGCAGACAAAUAUAUUUACACAUUAGAAUUUAUGAAAACGUUAAGUGAGUCAGACCAAACAGAUAUAAAAAAAGGAAUGGAGUUUUUGCUUCAAAACGACACCUGUUCUAACAGUACUAAUAUAACUAUCACAAUAUUAGAUGAUUGGAAAACGUUAAUUAAUUCUGUGAAAGUUCAUGCGCAAUGUGAUGGUAGAGAUGUCUCAAAAAAAGAAAUUGAUGAAGCGUUUAAGUGCCUUAACACCACAAAUGUUGAAGUCUCUUUUCCCCUUUGAAUUGAAGCAAAAAGGCGGACACAAAGACGGUAAUGAACCCGAGGUACGUAUUGUCAUUAACGUUUAAAAUAAGAAGAUAAUUUUCAUUAUAUAUAAAAAGUUAAAUGUAUUGAUGUUGCGCAUGACAAGCCGUCUUACUGUGUUAACAGAUGUGCCAAAUUAUUUCAAAAUCCCUUUCAAAUAGCUGAGUAAUGGACCCACCACGAAACUGGAUAGAUAGACGGAGCCAUUUUCCACAUCCCCUUUAUUUUGUUCGAAGAGGCGGGGACAAAUUUAUGUAUAUUAAAGUAGUAUAAUAUUGGAAAGGUACAUGUAAAUCAUCAAAUAAAAUUCUUCUUUUACACAGGACACAAACCAGCAUUAUUCUUUUGUCUAAGAUUAA